rnacentral:rRNA from 1 species
GACGAACGCUGGCGGCGUGCUUAACACAUGCAAGUCGAACGGAAAGGCCCUGCUUUUGUGGGGUGCUCGAGUGGCGAACGGGUGAGUAACACGUGAGUAACCUGCCCUUGACUUUGGGAUAACUUCAGGAAACUGGGGCUAAUACCGGAUAGGAGCUCCUGCUGCAUGGUGGGGGUUGGAAAGUUUCGGCGGUGGGGGAUGGACUCGCGGCUUAUCAGCUUGUUGGUGGGGUAGUGGCUUACCAAGGCUUUGACGGGUAGCCGGCCUGAGGGGGUGACCGGCCACAUUGGGACUGAGAUGCGGCCCAGACUCCUACGGGACGCAGCAGUGGGGAAUCUUGCACAAUGGGCGGCAGCCUGAUGCAGCAACGCCGCGUGCGGGAUGACGGCCUUCGGGUUGUAAACCGCUUUCGCCUGUGACGAAGCGUGAGUGACGGUAAUGGGUAAAGAAGCACCGGCUAACUACGUGC